rnacentral:rRNA from 1 species
CUACUAUUAGACUACCCGCGUACGUCCCACGACCGUAAACUAUGCUCGCUAGGUGUUUGGACGGCCACGUGCCGUUCUAGUGCCGCAGGGAAGCUGUUAAGUCUGCCGCCUGGGGAGUACGAUCGCAAGAUUGAAACUUAAAGGAAUUGGCGGGGGAGCACCACAAGGGGUGAAGCUUGCGGUUUAAUUGGAGUCAACGCCGGAAAUCUCACCGGGAGCGACAGCAGUGUGAUAGCCAGAUUAAAGGUCUUGCUAGACGAGCUG